rnacentral:rRNA from 1 species
CACAAGUGGUGGAGCAUGUGGUUUAAUUCGAAGAUACGCGAAGAACCCUACCUAGCCUUGACAUAUUUUAGAACACUUUAGAGAUAGAGUGGUGCCUUCGGGAGCUAAUAUACAGGUGCUGCACGGCUGUCGUCAGCUCGUGUCGUGAGAUGUUGGGUUAAGUCCCGCAACGAGCGCAACCCUCGUCACUAGUUACUAACGGUUCGGCCGAGGACUCUAGUGAGACUGCCUUCGCAAGGAGGAGGAAGGUGAGGACGACGUCAAGUCAUCAUGGCCCUUACGGCUAGGGCAACACACGUGCUACAAUGGCCAGGACAAUGAGAAGCGAUACCGCGAGGUGGAGCAAAUCUAUAAACCUGGUCUCAGUUCGGAUUGUAGUCUGCAACUCGACUACAUGAAGCUGGAAUCACUAGUAAUCGUAGAUCAGCUAUGCUACGGUGAAUACGUUCCCGGGUCUUGUACUCACCGCCCGUCACACCAUGGGAGUUGAUUUCACCCGAAGUGGGGAAGCUAAACUGGCUACCCUCCACGGUGGAAUCAGCGACUGGGGUGAAGUCGUAACAAGGUAGCC